rnacentral:rRNA from 1 species
AGUGAACGCUGGCGGUAGGCCUAACACAUGUAAGUCGAACGGCAGCACAGGAGAGCUUGCUCUCUGGGUGGCGAGUGGCGGACGGGUGAGGAAUACAUCGGAAUCUACUCUGUCGUGGGGGAUAACGUAGGGAAACUUACGCUAAUACCGCAUACGACCUACGGGUGAAAGCAGGGGACCUUCGGGCCUUGCGCGAUUGAGUGAGCCGAUGUCGGAUUAGCUAGUUGGCGGGGUAAAGGCCCACCAAGGCGACGAUCUGUAGCUGGUCUGAGAGGAUGAUCAGCCACACUGGAACUGAGACACGGUCCAGACUCCUACGGGAGGCAGCAGUGGGGAAUAUUGGACAAUGGGCGCAAGCCUGAUCCAGCCAUACCGCGUGGGUGAAGAAGGCCUUCGGGUUGUAAAGCCCUUUUGUUGGGAAAGAAAUCCAGCUGGCUAAUACCCGGUUGGGAUGACGGUACCCAAAGAAUAAGCACCGGCUAACUUCGUGCCAGCAGCCGCCGUAA